rnacentral:rRNA from 1 species
UACGUAGGGACCAAGCGUUGUCCGGAAUCAUUGGGCGUAAAGCGCGCGUAGGUGGCCAUUUAAGUCCGCUGUGAAAGUCAGAGGCUCAACCUUUGAAAGCCGGUGGAUACUGGAUGGCUAGAGUACGGAAGAGGCGAGUGGAAUUCCUGGUGUAGCGGUGGAAUGCGCAGAUAUCAGGAGGAACACCAAUAGCGAAGGCAGCUCGCUGGGACGUACUGACACUAAGGCGCGAAAAGCGUGGGGAGCGAACAGG